rnacentral:rRNA from 1 species
GACAGAGGGGGCAAGCGUUGCUCGGAAUCACUGGGCGUAAAGGGCGCGUAGGCGGGAUGGCAAGUCGGUCGUGAAAUCCUUCGGCUCAACCGAAGAACGUCGGCCGAUACUGCCGUUCUUGAGGGAUGCAGAGGAGAUUGGAAUUCCCGGUGUAGCGGUGAACUGUGUAGAGAUCGGGAGGAACACCGGUGGCGAAGGCGGGUCUCUGGGCAUCUCCUGACGCUGAGGCGCGAAAGCGUGGGGAGCAAACGGG